rnacentral:rRNA from 1 species
AUUGAACGCUGGCGGCAUGCCUUACACAUGCAAGUCGAACGGUAACAGGUCUUCGGAUGCUGACGAGUGGCGAACGGGUGAGUAAUACAUCGGAACGUGCCCGAGAGUGGGGGAUAACGAGGCGAAAGCUUUGCUAAUACCGCAUACGAUCUCAGGAUGAAAGCAGAGGACAGCAAGGCCUUGCGCUCACGGAGCGGCCGAUGGCAGAUUAGGUAGUUGGUGGGAUAAAAGCUUACCAAGCCGACGAUCUGUAGCUGGUCUGAGAGGACGACCAGCCACACUGGGAAUGAGACACAGCCCAGAUGCCUACGGGAGGCAGCAGGGGGGAAUUUUGGACAAGGGGCGCAAGCCUGAUCCAGCCAUGCCGCGUGCAGGAUGAAGGCCUUCGGGUUGUAAACUGCUUUUGUACGGAACGAAAAGACUCCUUCUAAUAAAGGGGGUCCAUGACGGUACCGUAAGAAUAAGCACCGGCUAACUACGUGCCAGCAGCCGCAGUAAUAC